rnacentral:sRNA from 1 species
UUUUCGGACUGCAGCGUGGCGGGGAAGAGAGACUGCGGCGGGGGGCCCCGGCCGGGGGACAGACGCGGGAAAGUGCGGAUCGCAGAGGCACUUGCCCACCCCGCCCUAGGCCGACCCGGCGGACGCGGCGUCUGGUGCGCGGGCGCUGGGGAGGAUUGAGGACGAGACGCAGGUGUCACGGGCCACUCAGGGUGAACAGGACAAUUACGAGAUGCAUGUGCGAGCCGCCAACAUCGUCCGAGCUGGUGAGUCCCUGAUGAAGCUGGUGUCCGACCUCAAGCAGUUCCUGAUCCUCAAUGACUUCCCCUCCGUGAACGAGGCCAUCGACCAGCGCAACCAGCAGCUGCGCGCACUGCAGGAGGAGUGCGACCGGAAGCUCAUCACGCUGCGAGACGAGAUCUCCAUUGACCUCUACGAGCUGGAGGAGGAGUAUUACUCGUCCAGGUAUAAAUAGUGCUGGACUCCCCAUGUAGAGCGGGAGCCUGCCUACCUGGGCCUGGCCAGCAGGCAAGGCUGCCUUCUGCUUUUUCAAAUUCUUGCUGGUCUUAGCAGUGGAGCCGUGCCUGGGUUUCAGAGCAGAGCUCCUGGCCAGAGCGUUUGACCAACAGACAAUUCACAACCAUAUGCCAGGGCCCUGGGCCUUUCCCACAGUGCAAUGUGAUGAAAACCACAGGACUCACGCCAGUCGGAUAGGCCAAGUCUGGAGAGGGGAGGCGCCUGGCUGUAUCCCCCGCAGGCCCUCUUCCGAGAGCCUUCCUCCUCGGGCAGUGCGUUCUGGAGCUGUGCUGCUCCUGUUAGCUUCUGAAUCCAUAUGUAGAGAUUUCAGCCCAGGCUGGGCCAGCCUCUCUUGGGCAGUCAGGUCCACACCUAUGUCCAGGG